AGUGAACGCUGGCGGUAGGCCUAACACAUGCAAGUCGAACGGCAGCACAGUAAGAGCUUGCUCUUACGGGUGGCGAGUGGCGGACGGGUGAGGAAUACAUCGGAAUCUACUUUUUCGGGGGGGAUAACGUAGGGAAACUUACGCUAAUACCGCAUACGACCUACGGGUGAAAGCAGGGGAUCUUCGGACCUUGCGCGAUUGAAUGAGCCGAUGUCGGAUUAGCUAGUUGGCGGGGUAAAGGCCCACCAAGGCGACGAUCCGUAGCUGGUCUGAGAGGAUGAUCAGCCGCACUGGAACUGAGACACGGUCCAGACUCCUGCGGGAGGCAGCAGUGGGGAAUAUUGGACAAUGGGCGCAAGCCUGAUCCAGCCAUACCGCGUGGGUGAAGAAGGCCUUCGGGUUGUAAAGCCCUUUUGUUGGGAAAGAAAAGCAGCAGGUUAAUACCCCGCUGUUCUGACGGUACCCAAAGAAUAAGCACCGGCUAACUUCGUG
rnacentral:rRNA from 1 species